rnacentral:rRNA from 1 species
GAUGAACGCUGGCGGCGUGCCUAAUACAUGCAAGUCGAGCGAACGGACGAGAAGCUUGCUUUUCUGAUGUUAGCGGCGGACGGGUGAGUAACACGUGGAUAACCUACCUAUAAGACUGGGAUAUCUUCGGGAAACCGGAGCUAAUACCGGAUAAUAUUUUGAACCGCAUGGUUCAAAAGUGAAAGACGGUCUUGCUGUCACUUAUAGAUGGAUCCGCGCUGCAUUAGCUAGUUGGUAAGGUAACGGCUUACCAAGGCAACGAUGCAUAGCCGACCUGAGAGGGUGAUCGGCCACACUGGAACUGAGACACGGUCCAGACUCCUACGGGAGGCAGCAGUAGGGAAUCUUCCGCAAUGGGCGAAAGCCUGACGGAGCAACGCCGCGUGAGUGAUGAAGGUCUUCGGAUCGUAAAACUCUGUUAUUAGGGAAGAACAUAUGUGUAAGUAACUGUGCACAUCUUGACGGUACCUAAUCAGAAAGCCACGGCUAACUACGUG